AUGAACGCUAGCUACAGGCUUAACACAUGCAAGUCGAGGGGCAGCAUGGUCUUAGCUUGCUAAGGCCGCUGGCGACCGGCGCACGGGUGAGUAACACGUAUCCAACCUGCCGUCUACUCUUGGACAGCCUUCUGAAAGGAAGAUUAAUACAAGAUGGCAUCAUGAGUCCGCAUGUUCACAUGAUUAAAGGUAUUCCGGUAGACGAUGGGGAUGCGUUCCAUUAGAUAGUAGGCGGGGUAACGGCCCACCUAGUCUUCGAUGGAUAGGGGUUCUGAGAGGAAGGUCCCCCACAUUGGAACUGAGACACGGUCCAAACUCCUACGGGAGGCAGCAGUGAGGAAUAUUGGUCAAUGGGCGCAGGCCUGAACCAGCCAAGUAGCGUGAAAGAUGACUGCCCUAUGGGUGGUAAACUUCUUUUAGAGAGGAAUAAAGUCGGGUAUGUAUACCCGUUUGCAUGUACUUUAUGAAUAAGGAUCGGCUAACUCCGUG
rnacentral:rRNA from 1 species